CUUCUUUCUUUUAUUUUUCUCUUCCUUUAUUAUUAUAUAGUAGUGUAGAUUUCUUGAUGGAUUGAGUCGGGUUUUCUCUCUCUUCUUUCUCUGCGCGAUUUUUCAGAGAGGUAGAAAUUUUCCGAUCUUCUUUUUGUUCGCCGGUUGGUAUAUCCCGGCUAUCGGGCUCGCUUUUGGCAUCUCUGGCUUCUUCAACGGAGUUGGCCGGCUCUUUCUCCAGCAACGAUAGCUACUUUAGCGCCGGUUUGGUUGGCGCUCUCUCCGACAAUGGUGGCUACUUUAGCACCGCUUGGCAGGCUUUUCUCUAGUAGAUCCGCUGCCUUCUCUCAGUGGUGUUUGGUUUUAGUUUUUUUGUUGACUCAAUUGAUUCGGCUUAUGAUGUAGAUCUUCUUUCUUGGAGAUUGGAAAGCUCUUUACUGAAGACGAAGAUGAUGAAACUCUGCUUUGGACUUAUUUUCUCAGCAAAAUUGGAAUCCGCUGUAACUUUAUGGGUGUAGAUCGAGAUUCCGGUAUAACUUUCUGGCGAUUUUGACCGGAAUCGAAGUUUUCCGGCGUUACUUCCGUCUGCCGGUGACCGGAGACUCCAUUUUUCGACUUCCCACGCGUCAACCAUCAUGUCUCUCUUUUUCCAUGUGGUCUGUGUUCCAUCUAAUCUCUUUAGUCUCAAGGAAGAAAUUACGACUGGACCUGUGGGCUUUUUUUUUAGUUGGUUUCUUUUGUACAUUUGGUUCUUUCGGCUUGUAAUAUUGGCAUGUUUACUAGGCUUAAUCAAUAAAGAUACUCUAGUGCAAAAAAAAAAAGAUUUCUUGAUGGAUUGUGUUUUGCUGAUAAGUUAAUAGUAAAUUUUGACCAA